rnacentral:rRNA from 1 species
CCUACGGGGUGCAGCAGUGAGGAAUAUUGGUCAAUGGACGAGAGUCUGAACCAGCCAAGUAGCGUGAAGGAUGACUGCCCUAUGGGUUGUAAACUUCUUUUAUAUGGGAAUAAAACGUUCCACGUGUGGGAUUUUGUAUGUACCAUAUGAAUAAGGAUCGGCUAACUCCGUGCCAGCAGCCGCGGUAAUACGGAGGAUCCGAGCGUUAUCCGGAUUUAUUGGGUUUAAAGGGAGCGUAGGUGGAUUGUUAAGUCAGUUGUGAAAGUUUGCGGCGCAACCGUAAAAUUGCAGUUGAAACUGGCAGUCUUGAGUACAGUAGAGGUGGGCGGAAUUCGUGGUGUAGCGGUGAAAUGCUUAGAUAUCACGAAGAACUCCGAUUGCGAAGGCAGUUCACUGGACUGCAACUGACACUGAGGCUCGAAAGUGUGGGUAUCAAACAGGAUUAGAUACCCUUGUAGUC